GGUUUUGUCCCCCAGAAGCGUUUGGAGAUGUCUGCAGACAUCUGUGGUUGAUACAGCUUGCUAUGGUAUCCAGCCAGGAGGGGCCUGGGAUGCUGCUAAAUAUUCUACAAUGCAUACAAAAAAGACUUCACCACUCUAAGAUGUCAGUAGUGCUGAGGUUGAGAAACCCUGGUAACACACACACACACACACACACACACACACACAGAAGAGACUCAUGAACUGUUGGAUACUGCCAAAUGUUCUUUCACUGCUAUGUGCAGUUGUUGUGGAUACUACGCUAAUUAUGGGUAACUCCAGAAUCACGAAUUGGAACAUGAAGAGAAGCAAGAAAAUGGACAGGCGACACAGACUGCAUUCUGCAAGAAUCUGUGGCCCUCUUGCUAGAACAGCAUGCUGUUUAGCUGCCAAAAUAUUAGGACUGAAAGCAGCUGGCAAAACUGUUCAUGGAGGAAGUGAGCCUGCUCGGAGAGGCCAAAGGAAAAUUCUCCUCGACUGUGACCCCAGAAGGACCCCCGGGCCUCAGGACCUCUUUUGGAAGCCUCUGCUCAGUCAGCUUGGGGCUCCCUCAGACCCCAGGGCCCCGGGGGCUCCUUUGAAGAGCAGCAUAGGAGAAUGCCCCGACACGAUCCUUUUAAAAACCUUUGCAGGCCUCUGUACAGGGGAGUUUGGCUUGAGGAAAAGCUUCUCAGUGGAAAUACUGUUGAAGCUGCCGAGAGUUAUCUGGGCUGAUCCCUUUCCAUGAUGCUUCUCUGGACGACAGGGACCCUCAGCUCCAGGAAGCUAGUGUGCAGCCGUGACCCAGCCAGCUAUCAUUGCUCUGUCCCGGUUCUCGGGGAAGGCCCCUCCAGCCCCUUCCUGCCCCUAGAUGGCACCUCCACAAAGAGCGAAUUUUCUCCCAUCCAUGACCUGGCAAACAGGAGCCAUCACAGGAGUGAAGAUACAUCAACGGAGGGCGGCAGGCACUUGUUUCAUCUCCCUGUUGGUGUAGUGCCUGAGACUUGACUUGUUUUAAAAUUAAAUAUUUUAAAACAUUUAAU